CUUAGUGGCGGACGGGUGAGUAACGCGUGGGUAACCUGCCUUACACUGGGGGAUAACACUUAGAAAUAGGUGCUAAUACCGCAUAAGCGCACGAAGCCGCAUGGAUUUGUGUGAAAAACUCCGGUGGUGUAAGAUGGACCCGCGUCUGAUUAGCUUGUUGGCGGGGUAACAGCCCACCAAGGCGACGAUCAGUAGCCGGCCUGAGAGGGUGAACGGCCACAUUGGGACUGAGACACGGCCCAAACUCCUACGGAAGGCAGCAG
rnacentral:rRNA from 1 species